UACGUAGGUGGCAAGCGUUGUCUGGAGUUAUUGGGCGUAAAGCGCGCGCAGGCUGUGCGGUAAGUCUCUGGUGAAAGCGCUCGGCUUAACUGGGCGAGGGCCGGGGAGACUGCCACGCUGGAGGGGAGCAGAGGCGAGUGGAAUUCCGGGUGUAGUGGUGAAAUGCGUAGAGAUCCGGAGGAACACCAGUGGCGAAGGCGGCUCGCUGGGCUCUACCUGACGCUGAGGCGCGAAAGCGUGGGGAGCGAACCGG
rnacentral:rRNA from 1 species